rnacentral:rRNA from 1 species
CUACCAUGCAAGUCGAGGGGUAACAGGGAAGAGCUUGCUCUUUCGCUGACGACCGGCGCACGGGUGCGUAACGCGUAUACAACCUACCUUUUGGAGGGGAAUAGCCCAGGGAAACUUGGAUUAAUGCCCCAUAGUAUGGGAAUAUCUCCUGAUAUUUUCAUUAAACAUUUAUGGCCAUUAGAUGGGUAUGCGUCCUAUUAGUUAGUUGGUAAGGUAACGGCUUACCAAGGCAGCGAUAGGUAGGGGUCCUGAGAGGGAGAUCCCCCACACUGGUACUGAGACACGGACCAGACUCCUACGGGAGGCAGCAGUGAGGAAUAUUGGACAAUGGGCGAGAGCCUGAUCCAGCCAUGCCGCGUGCAGGAAGACUGCCCUAUGGGUUGUAAACUGCUUUUACAGAGGAAGAACCACUCCCACGUGUGGGAGUUUGACGGUACUCUGCGAAUAAGGAUCGGCUAACUCCGUGCCAGCAGCCGCGGUAAUACGGAGGAUCCAAGCGUUAUCCGGAAUCAUUGGGUUUAAAGGGUCCGUAGGCGGGCAGUUAAGUCAGUGGUGAAAGUCUUCCGCUCAACGGGAGAACUGCCAUUGAUACUGAUUGUCUUGAGUUAUUAUGAAGUGGUUAGAAUGAGUAGUGUAGCGGUGAAAUGCAUAGAUAUUACUCAGAAUACCGAUUGCGAAGGCAGAUCACUAAUAAUAUACUGACGCUGAUGGACGAAAGCGUAGGUAGCGAACAGGAUUAGAUACCCUGGUAGUCUACGCCGUAAACGAUGGUUACUAGCUGUUCGGCCCGAUUAAGGGCUGAGUGGUUAAGCGAAAGUGAUAAGUAACCCACCUGGGGAGUACGUUCGCAAGAAUGAAACUCAAAGGAAUUGACGGGGGCCCGCACAAGCGGUGGAGCAUGUGGUUUAAUUCGAUGAUACGCGAGGAACCUUACCAGGGCUUAAAUGUAGUCUGACAGGAGUGGAAACACUUUUUUCUUCGGACAGAUUACAAGGUGCUGCAUGGUUGUCGUCAGCUCGUGCCGUGAGGUGUCAGGUUAAGUCCUAUAACGAGCGCAACCCCUGUGGUUAGUUGCCAGCGAGUAAUGUCGGGAACUCUAGCCAGACUGCCGGUGCAAACCGCGAGGAAGGUGGGGAUGACGUCAAAUCAUCACGGCCCUUACGUCCUGGGCCACACACGUGCUACAAUGGUAGGGACAGAGAGCAGCCACUUCGCGAGAAGGAGCGAAUCUACAAACCCUAUCACAGUUCGGAUCGCAGUCUGCAACUCGACUGCGUGAAGCUGGAAUCGCUAGUAAUCGCAUAUCAGCCAUGAUGCGGUGAAUACGUUCCCGGGCCUUGUACACACCGCCCGUCAAGCCAUGGAAGCCGGGGGUACCUGAAGUCGGUCACCGCAAGGAGCCGCCUUGU